rnacentral:rRNA from 1 species
UCUUAGACAAUGGGCGCAAGCCUGAUCUAGCCAUGCCGCGUGUGUGAUGAAGGCCUUAGGGUCGUNAAGCACUUUCGCCAGAGAUGAUAAUGACAGUAUCUGGUAAAGAAACCCCGGCUAACUCCGUGCCAGCAGCCGCGGUAAUACGGAGGGGGUUAGCGUUGUUCGGAAUUACUGGGCGUAAAGCGUACGUAGGCGGAUCAGAAAGUAUAGGGUGAAAUCCCAAGGCUCAACCUCGGAACUGCCUUGUAAACUCCUGGUCUUGAGUUCGAGAGAGGUGAGUGGAAUUCCAAGUGUAGAGGUGAAAUUCGUAGAUAUUUGGAGGAACACCAGUGGCGAAGGCGGCUCACUGGCUCGAUACUGACGCUGAGGUACGAAAGUGUGGGGAGCAAACAGGAUUAGAUACCCUGGUAGUCCACACCGUAAACGAUGAAUGCCAGUCGUCGGGCAGUAUACUGUUCGGUGACACACCUAACGGAUUAAGCAUUCCGCCUGGGGAGUACGGUCGCAAGA